UCUAUCUCCGACACAGACGUCGGGGGUCGUAGACUGUGGCUGUUACUCAUGGUGCUCACAUCUGGAGAGACGUUAACACAGACAUUUGAAGACGGGCAUGGCUCACAGGCAUGGGGCCCAACUAGGUCUCGCUGACUGCCAAACACUCCAUAUACCCUGCCUGGAACAAACACAACUACAUCAUGAUGCUCAGUCUUGCCAGUCAGUGUGAACGAAGAUGGUUCAUGCUUCAUGUGAUAACGUCACUUAAAGAUGUGCAGCUGUUCAACCGAUGAGAGCAACACCAUGCUGACAGCUCUGUCAUUACCUGGCGCACCAAGAAUAAUGUAAUUUAUGCUGUUAAUCAUACAAUCAUGUGAACAUAAAUGUCUAGUAAUCUCUCCUCUGAAGAAUAUUUUAUUUGUAUUGUUUAUAAAUAUUAUAUGUUGGUCUUGUUUCUCAUUUAGUCAGAAUAGUCCUAUUGCUUUGUCUU